UACGGAGGUCUCAAGCGUUGUUCGGAUUCAUUGGGCGUAAAGGGUGCGUAGGCGGCGCGGUAAGUCGGGUGUGAAAUCUUGGAGCUUAACUCCGAAACUGCAUUCGAUACUGCUGUGCUUGAGGACUGGAGAGGAGACUGGAAUUUACGGUGUAGCGGUGAAAUGCGUAGAUAUCGGGAGGAACACCUGUGGCGAAAGCGGCGCACUGGGCCACAACUGACGCUGAGGCGCGAAAGCUAGGGGAGCAAACAGG
rnacentral:rRNA from 1 species